AUUGAACGCUGGCGGCAGGCCUAACACAUGCAAGUCGAGCGAGCGGCGGACGGGUGAGUAAUGUUUGGGGACUGCCCGAUAGAGGGGGAUAACUCCUGGAAACGGUAUCUAAUACCGCAUACUAUCGGAUACCCCUUAUGGGAUUAGCUAGUCGGUGAGGUAAUGGCUCACCUAGGCGACGAUCCCUAGCUGGUCUGCGAGGAUGAUCAGCAACACUGGGACUGAGACACGGCCCAGACUCCUACGGAGGCAGCAGUGGGGAAUAUUGGACAAUGGGCGCAAGCCUGAUGCAGCCAUGCCGCGUGUAUGAAGAAGGCCUUAGGGUUGUAAAGUACUUUCAGUCGGGAGGCGUUACCGACAGAAGAAGCACCGGCUAACUCCGUGCCAGCAGCCGCGGUAAUAC
rnacentral:rRNA from 1 species